CCUACGGGCGGCAGCAGUGGGGGAUAUUGCACAAUGGGCGCAACCCUGAUGCAGCGACGCCGCGUGGGUGAAGAAGGGCCUCGGCGUGUAAAGCUCUUUCAGCAGGGAAGAAAAUGACGGUACCUGAAGAAGAAGCCCCGGCUAACUACGUGCCAGCAGCCGCGGCAAUACGGAGGGGGCAAGCGUUAUCCGGAUUUACUGGGUGGAAAGGGGGCGCAGACGGCGAUGCAAGCCAGGAGUGAAAGCCCGGGGCCCAACCCCGGGACUGCUCUUGGAACUGGGUGGCUAGAGUGCAGGAGGGGCAGGCGGAAGUCCUGGUGUAGCGGUGAAAUGCGUAGAUAUCAGGAGGAACACCGGUGGCGAAGGCGGCCUGCUGGACUGCAACUGACGUUGAGGCCCGAAAGCGUGGGGAGCAAACAGGAUUAGAUACCCCAGUAGUC
rnacentral:rRNA from 1 species